UACGAAGGGGGCUAGCGUUGCUCGGAAUCACUGGGCGUAAAGCGCACGUAGGCGGACUCUUAAGUCGGUGGUGAAAUCCUGGAGCUCAACUCCAGAACUGCCUUUGAUACUGGGGAUCUCGAGUCCGGGAGAGGUGAGUGGAACUCCGAGUGUAGAGGUGAAAUUCGUAGAUAUUCGGAAGAACACCAGUGGCGAAGGCGGCUCACUGGCCCGGUACUGACGCUGAGGUGCGAAAGCGUGGGGAGCAAACAGG
rnacentral:rRNA from 1 species